UACGUAGGGGGCGAGCGUUGUCCGAAGUUACUGGGCGUAAAGCGCGCGUAGGCGGGAGAUUAAGUGAGAGGUGAAAGGCUGGGGCUCAACCCCAUGCAGUGCCUCUCAUACUGGUCUUCUUGAGGGCGGUAGGGAGAAGUGGAAUUCCUGGUGUAGCGGUGAAAUGCGUAGAGAUCAGGAAGAACACCGGUGGCGAAGGCGCUCUGCUAGGCCGCAACUGACACUGAGGGACGAAAGCUAGGGGAGCGAAUGGG
rnacentral:rRNA from 1 species